UCACAUUAUCACCAUCAAAACACUGCAAUCUUAGUCAUCAUCACGACCACAAUCACUGUCACCGCAAUUUUCACCAUCAUCAUAAUGACCAACACCACCAUCAGUAAUAUUACUGUACUACCAUCUCUAGAUCACCACCUAUGAUCAUUACCACCAACACCAUCAUACGACUGACAUUUAUCGCAAUUAAUAAAUAAUCUUUUUUCAAAAGCAUUCCAUCAGUUUUUCAUGGUCAUGAUCUCAAGCAAGGUAAGAGCUUUGCUUGAAAUUGUUUUCUACCUGAUACUUGACCAAUGGUUAGAACCUGUAACCCCAGGUAGGGAGGCGAGGGAGUACUAUCACUUGCCCAAGGUGAACUCCCAGGCAAGCGGAGGGAAGGAGGUGUCUUACUUCUCCAUUCUAGACUGGCUCCAAGCAAAGUCUAGCCGCUGCCCAAAAACAUCCAUCAAAACAAUUAUUUAAACGUCCUUUGUUGAAAGAACCUUUGUCAUCGCUCUAAAUGUUCAUACGUUGAAAUCGACGAGGACGCCAUUGUCGUAUUUACCAAUCUUGUUCUUCCUAAAGUAUAAAAAACUCCGACAUAACAUGUUGUUUUCACCAGCGCAUGAUUUUGUACGGCCACUUAGUAGCUGCCUCACGUUUGAUACAGGA